UACGUAGGGGGCAAGCGUUGUCCGGAUUUAUUGGGCGUAAAGAGCGUGUAGGCGGCCUGAAAGGUCAGCUGUGAAAACUCGAGGCUCAACCUCGAGACGUCGGUUGAAACCAUCUGGCUAGAGUCCGGAAGAGGAGUGUGGAAUUCCCGGUGUAGCGGUGAAAUGCGCAGAUAUCAGGAAGAACACCUAUGGCGAAGGCAGCUCUCUGGGACGGUACUGACGCUGAGACGCGAAAGCGUGGGGAGCGAACAGG
rnacentral:rRNA from 1 species